CCUACGGGUGGCAGCAGUGAGGAAUAUUGGUCAAUGGGCGCGAGCCUGACCCAGCCAAGUAGCGUGAAGGAUGACUGCCCUCCGGGUUGUAAACUUCUUUUAUAAAGGAAUACAGUGAGUGUCGUGUGCCUUUUUGUAUGUACUUUAUGAAUAAGGGUCGGCUAACUCCGGGCCAGCAGCCGCGGUAAUACGGAGGAUCCGAGCGUUACCCGGAUUUAUUGGGUUUAAAGGGAGCGUAGAUGGGUUGUUAAGUCAGUUGUGAAAGUUUGCGGCUCAACGGUAAAAUUGCAAUUGAUACUGGCAGCCUUGAGUACAGUAGAGGUUGGCGGAAUUCGUGGUGUAGCAGUGAAAUGCUUAGAUAUCACGAAGAACUCCGAUUGCGAAGGCAGCUAACUAA
rnacentral:rRNA from 1 species